AAAUCCCUUCUCUCUGCUUCAGUUUGGUUUUGUAAAUGGAUGAUCAUUGGGUCAGAUCCAUUAACAAGUGUGUGAUUGAAAAAUUUGGAAUGCAAAAUCUUACAAAAAUGAAUGUUGAAAACUAUCUGUACUUGCAUUUGGAAAAAUAAAAUACUCUUGGGGAAGAAUAGUGUUGUCAUUUGGAUAAGAUAAUUUCUGGCUUUUGGAAAAUUCACAAGAUCUUUUUUCUCCUCAGUGAUCAUGGAAAUGUUUUAGCUCUACAAUACAUAAUAUUUGCCAGCUUCACAAAUACACUUCAUGCCAUUUUCUUAAUAUAGCACUGUCUGAUUUCACCUUCAAAAAUCCUCAUCUCUCUCAUAGAAACCUUAACUUUCCUGAUUUCACAGAAACUACUGUGUGGAAAAGGUGAAGAACUUACAGAUCAAGUACAUAUUGAUCAGAGACUAUUAGCUAAAGCCUUAAAGGCCUCAGUUGAUGAAGCAUGUGAUUUUAGAUAAGGCCUGGACUAUAUUCCCUUGUUCAAAGCAGGAUGUGUGGUGAGAAAGCUAUACAUCACCUUAUCUACUACAUUCCACUGACCAAAUAGGGGAAUAGAGACUUAUGUGACCCACACCAUAUAGAGGGUGGGAUUUGGGGGGUUCUUUGUCUGAAACGUAUAAAAACUGUGAGGAUUUUCAAGGGACUGGCUCUUUCCUACUGUGAAAUUCGGCUCACAAACCAGGAUGGGGGUCCAUUUCUCGAGAUUCUAAUCUGCUUUUUAUGAGUGAUCUCUGAGUAGUCAAUUUGGGUAGGUCUCUUUGUCCCAAACACUACCAUUUCCUGGUAAGACAUUUCUCAAUUUUAUUCCAACUGAAAAUAUAAAAUGUGUUUCUCUAUAUUCCACUGGUCUUUCACUUGGUUUCAAUGCUGGCUCUAAAUCCUGUAAGGGCUGUCACCUUUGGGCAGAUCCCUCUCCAUGCUUCAGUUCCCUUCUGUAACUUGAGGAGCAUUGGAUUAGGUCAGUUAUGAAGCAUGCUUCAACUCUUAAGUCCUCUGGGUGUUGGUGUUGUAGGAGCUGGUGACCUUCAAGGAUGUGGCUGUCGACUUCAGCCCAGAGGAGUGGGGACUGUUGAACCCGGAUCAGAAAGAGCUGCACAAGGAGGUCAUGCUGGAGAAUGCCGAGAACUUGCUCUCCCUGGGACUUCCAGUUCCCAGAGAAGAUUUCAUCUCCCAUGUGGAGAGAGGUGGCCUGAGGAACUCCUGUCCUGAUGCAGAGACACAAUUUGACAUGAAGGAGAUGAGUAGAAAUCUGAAAAUGAUCUCAUGGAAAGAGCUUUUUCAAUAUCAUGAAUACAGGGCUGUUCUUGGUGAGCACAAAAGAAACC